UACGUAGGGUGCAAGCGUUGUCCGGAAUUAUUGGGCGUAAAGAGCUCGUAGGCGGUUUGUCGCGUCGAAUGUGAAAACCCGGGGCUCAACUCCGGGCCUGCAUUCGAUACGGGCAGACUAGAGUUCGGUAGGGGAGACUGGAAUUCCUGGUGUAGCGGUGGAAUGCGCAGAUAUCAGGAGGAACACCGGUGGCGAAGGCGGGAUCCUGGGCCAGUACUGACGCUGAGGAGCGAAAGCGUGGGGAGCAAACAGG
rnacentral:rRNA from 1 species